UUUCUUUCCAUUUUCCACAUAAUUUUUGCAAACUUCUUCCUCUGCCUGGUCUGACAUCUCCUCUUUUUACUUUUCUAUUACACUGACCGUCAAUGCUUCCUUUCUUUCUGAUCUCUUAGACCAUCUUCCCUUCAUAGCUUAGAUUUGCCUCAUGAUUAUGUUGAAUACAAUUUCUUUCAGAGUACAAUAAAUCACAUUAUCCAAACUAUCCAUCCUUUCACAACUGUGCCUUGGCUUUGUGGUCCAGACAAAGAACAUUCAUGUGCUUGAAAUUACUGAACUGCAGCACUUGCCAGCACUAAACUAGAGGCCUGUAAGGAAUGGGUGGCUGUAUUUCAGAGCUGGAGCCAGUACAGCUGCUUUCUGCUUUUCAGAAGUGCAUGAAUUGUGGCUUAGCUUUUGGAGUUCAGACACAGGAGAAGGCUAUCAACGUGCUUGCUGCAGUGACUGGACCAGACCUGGUCAGUGAGGGAAGAAUUUGGGUUACAAUUAGCUGCUCUUCAAAUGAAGCUGUUCACUGAGCAGUAGGUGUAAGCAAAUGGGAGAUGGAAGUAUGGGAAGAGGGUCCAGAAAGAGAAAAAUGGAGGAAGGAGGUAGUCUGGGAG
rnacentral:lncRNA from 1 species